rnacentral:rRNA from 1 species
GAUGAACGCUAGCGGCAGGCCUAAUACAUGCAAGUCGAACGAUACCGGAGAGCUUGCUUUCCGGGAAAGUGGCGCACGGGUGCGUAACGCGUAUGCAACCUACCUUAAUCAGGGGGAUAGCCUCUCGAAAGAGAGAUUAACACCGCAUAAAAUCACAGUCCGGCAUCGGAUAAAUGAUCAAAUAUUUAUAGGAUUAAGAUGGGCAUGCGUGACAUUAGUUUGUUGGUGAGGUAACGGCUCACCAAGACUACGAUGUCUAGGGGAUCUGAGAGGAUGACCCCCACACUGGUACUGAGACACGGACCGAGACUCCUACGGGAGGNAGCAGUAAGGAAUAUUGUCGAAUA